GGGAGCACCACGCUUCUUUGCGGAGAUCAAGCUGUCGAAACAAAUUAGGCUGGAAAAAAACACCCGGUGACAGAUCUGCGUGGGGAGAGAUAGACUCCACAGGUCCAUGAUCCAACCAGGAAGGAUGCCAGGCUCUCCACAGGCUAAUCUUGGGACAUAGCUGCCAGCUACCUCAUGUUUGCUCAGAUAUUUGGGGCUGAGGGUCAGACCCCAUCUGAGGAAUGCUUGCCCAGCACUUGAGCCCCUGUGACACAUACCCACAGGCCUGGGGACAGCACAACCUGCUGACAUGAUGUUCCUUACAAGCCAGAACAUAAAGGAGAUGGCAGGACAUCCUGGAGACAGAACCACAUUGUCCCGGACACUGACUUUUUUAAAGUCACACUUAAGCAUGGGAUGGAGAGGGCACAGGACAUUUUGGCCAAAUUGUAGAGUCAAGUGGUAAAUUUCCCAGUGCAGAACUAGUCUGGGCAACACUGAGAGAGGAGCUGAAAAAUCAGAACUAAUCCUGCAGGAAUGACUCAUUCUGGCAGAGGAUUUGCAGAGCAAGAUGAGAAGUUCAGCCGGGAUUACAGUGGCCAAGUCCAAACAGAGAAGCACUGGAAUUUUGACAAAGGCUUAAGCAACAAGGAUUACUUUGUGUGUGUGCACCACUCUGCUGGGAGAGCCCACAAAAAGAAACUGGCAGCAAAUCUGUGGUGACCAGCCAGAGCAGCAGCCUGGGAUAAGACAGCAUCCAGCCCUGAGGACUCUGGGAAAACAGGUGAGGAGAGCUUGGAGAUACUACACUUCAGGAGAGGACUUGUUACUCAUUGUGUCCUGUCUCUCUGUUGUCCACUUCCUUUGUCUCUUGUGGGACAUGGUGCCAUAAAGACUUUUGAGUUUAAUAUCCCUGAGACAGAAGCCAGCAUAACAUCAACAGUCCUAAAAUCUGAUUUUUGUCCAUGUUGUUGCAAGCGAGAGAUGCCAGCUGCUGGAUACUGCAGACACGCAAAAAAGGUGCUGGGCUAGGACUGACUCUGCUGCAAGAGAGCAUGUUGUGAGCCUCCCUGGCAAGGUCUUCAGAUGCCCAUUCUCCUCCAGUGUUGUAUGAUCUAUGUCUGCUGCCCCCAGGAAACCAUAAAAUGAUCCUCAAACUCCUUCCGUCCAGUUUCUGUCUCACAGGGCUGAGAUGAGAACAUGUUUCAACUUAAUAUCCUGCAACUUUGCCUGGAUUCCCUCCCAAGGAAAAGGUGUGGAAUAGACAUCUAGAUAGAUCUAGGAAAGGCUCAGGCAGAGAGGGAGCAAUCCAUCACUUUGUUG